AGCUGAAUCAUCUGCCACCCCAUAUGGUUACAUGAAAGUCCUGAGCGAACUGACAAGAAAAACUAGAGAAAUUUCUCAAAUCAUAUGUGGAAAGAAAACAUACAAGAACAUCUAAGACUGGAAGAGUGGAGCUGAAAUAUAUGGAAAGUGACGACCAGUUCUAUAAAUAUCAAGAGGGUUUUUAAAGCUGUGGAUCACGACCCAUUAUUGGGACUAGAAUUCAUUUGGGGAGUUACAACUAGUUUUCUCGAGAAUGGAACAUGGAAUAGAAUGGAAUAGAAAUAGCCCAAUGCUUGUCUCCCUG